rnacentral:piRNA from 1 species
UGUAGUUUAAGAGGAUAGGUCUU